rnacentral:lncRNA from 1 species
UAUUCAUUUAUUUCUCUAGAAGUUCUGUGCUUUCAUUAUGACAGUUUUAUGGGUUAGUUUCAGAAGUCUAGCAGGAAGCAAAAAGUACAUACCUGCAUGUAGAAUUUUUUCCCUUUUGUGUGUAAUGGAAACAUAUUGCAUUACAUCAUCAGUCUUUGUGUUUGCAUGUUAGGGUGAACCAGGAGUGUGCAGCUGCACAAGUCCCGUGACAUCAGUUGUGGGAGGACCUGGUGCUCCAGGAACUGCAAUAAACACAUGGCAGCCCGGGCCUCAGGUCUGAUCUGUCAGCCAGUAGAACUGUCUGACAGCUGGAGCUUUUUCUAAACGCUUUGCAUUUAUCUUUGCCUGGCAAACCUUGUUUGGAAAAAUCACAAUAAAUCUCAACUUUGAUUUGUUUUUAAAUGGAACAAAUUGACAGCAUAUGAUCUUCCCUUUUAAUGUGUUAAAGGGCCCCCCUGGACCUCCUGGUCCCCCCGGCCCCCCAGGGCCGCAGGGAGUGAAUGGAAUACAAGGACCUCAGGAUCCCAGCGGACUGCAACAACUUCCUCAAGACUCCACAGAUGACCCCACUGAUGUUAGUAACUAUGUAUAUUUAUUCAUGUUUAAGGAGACCGCACACUCAGCAUGACUACUGUUUACUGGCAUGCCUGCAUCCACACAUGCAUAUAUUUUCAUAUAUAUGUGCACAUAUACAUGUAUACACAUUUGUAUGACGUAGAAGAGAAAAAUGUGUUUUGUAUGUGUAGGAGAGCUGUGUUGACGGCUGCUCCCAAGGGUUGCCUGGGGUGCCAGGUAUGGCUGGUGCCAAAGGUGAUAAAGGAGACCAAGGCAAGCCUGGUGCAACCCUCUUGGACAGCUGUGACAGGUGUUUGGAGAGGCUGCAGAGUGAGCAGAACACUCAAGCUGCGGGGGAUCGAUCCUGCAAUGGACCUCCAGGAGUUCCUGGAAUUCCAGGCUCACCAGGAAUCAAAGGAGAUCAGGGUUCACCAGGAGAAAGGGGACAAGCUGGAAUUCCAGGGAUCAUGGU